rnacentral:rRNA from 1 species
ACGGACGAGAAGCUUGCUCCUCUGAUGUUAGCGGCGGACGGGUGAGUAACACGUGGAUAACCUACCUAUAAGACUGGGAUAACUUCGGGAAACCGGAGCUAAUACCGGAUAAUAUUUUGAACCGCAUGGUUCAAAAGUAAAAGACGGUCUUGCUGUCACUUAUAGAUGGAUCCGCGCUGCAUUAGCCAGUUGGUAAGGUAACGGCUUACCAAGGCAACGAUGCAUAGCCGACCUGAGAGGGUGAUCGGCCACACUGGAACUGAGACACGGUCCAGACUCCUACGGGAGGCAGCAGUAGGGAAUCUUCCGCAAUGGGCGAAAGCCUGACGGAGCAACGCCGCGUGAGUGAUGAAGGUCUUCGGAUCGUAAAACUCUGUUAUUAGGGAAGAACAUAUGUGUAAGUAACUGUGCACAUCUUGACGGUACCUAAUCAGAAAGCCACGGCUAACUACGUGCCAGCAGCCGCGGUAAUACGUAGGUGGCAAGCGUUAUCCGGAAUUAUUGGGCGUAAAGCGCGCGUAGGCGGUUUUUUAAGUCUGAUGUGAAAGCCCACGGCUCAACCGUGGAGGGUCAUUGGAAACUGGAAAACUUGAGUGCAGAAGAGGAAAGUGGAAUUCCAUGUGUAGCGGUGAAAUGCGCAGAGAUAUGGAGGAACACCAGUGGCGAAGGCGACUUUCUGGUCUGUAA